UGCAAGUCGAGCGAACGGAUAAGGAGCUUGCUCCUUUGAAGUUAGCGGCGGACGGGUGAGUAACACGUGGGUAACCUACCUAUAAGACUGGAAUAACUUCGGGAAACCGGAGCUAAUGCCGGAUAACAUAUAGAACCGCAUGGUUCUAUAGUGAAAGAUGGUUUUGCUAUCACUUAUAGAUGGACCCGCGCCGUAUUAGCUAGUUGGUAAGGUAAUGGCUUACCAAGGCGACGAUACGUAGCCGACCUGAGAGGGUGAUCGGCCAUACUGGAACUGAGACACGGUCCAGACUCCUACGGGAGGCAGCAGUAGGGAAUCUUCCGCAAUGGGCGAAAGCCUGACGGAGCAACGCCGCGUGAGUGAUGAAGGUUUUCGGAUCGUAAAACUCUGUUAUUAGGGAAGAACAAAUGCGUAAGUAACUGUGCGCAUCUUGACGGUACCUAAUCAGAAAGCCACGGCUAACUACGUGCCAGCAGCCGCGGUAAUACGUAGGUGGCAAGCGUUAUCCGGAAUUAUUGGGCGUAAAGCGCGCGUAGGCGGUUUCUUAAGUCUGAUGUGAAAGCCCACGGCUCAACCGUGGAGGGUCAUUGGAAACUGGGAAACUUGAGUGCAGAAGAGGAAAGUGGAAUUCCAUGUGUAGCGGUGAAAUGCGCAGAGAUAUGGAGGAACACCAGUGGCGAAGGCGACUUUCUGGUCUGUAACUGACGCUGAUGUGCGAAAGCGUGGGGAUCAAACAGGAUUAGAUACCCUGGUAGUCCACGCCGUAAACGAUGAGUGCUAAGUGUUAGGGGGUUUCCGCCCCUUAGUGCUGCAGCUAACGCAUUAAGCACUCCGCCUGGGGAGUACGACCGCAAGGUUGAAACUCAAAGGAAUUGACGGGGACCCGCACAAGCGGUGGAGCAUGUGGUUU
rnacentral:rRNA from 1 species